ACUUACCUUGGCAAUGUCCAACUCGCCAGAUGAGACUUAAACGGUUCUGUUCGGUAAACGCUCCAUGGGACAGCAAUGUCUGAAAUAAACGUGAUUCCAAAGGGACCAUUAAAAUCGGAGUACAAUAUGCCGUAGGUCAUGCAAUGCAAAUUGAAAAAUGCGCACAUGAAGGGCAUGCAAUAAGCAUCAAAAACAAACCAACGGCAAGAAGUAAGCGGAGCAAAAAACACAACAACUGAACGACAAAGAAAGCCGAGCGCAGCGCACAACGGUGCGAAUGAGCAAUUUUGAUUAGUAGCACCUUGAGCUGAAUCUGCUUCUGCGAUGUUGUAUCUUACCGAUCCAGGGCAAUAACUUUCAAGACAUGAGUCAAUCCAAAACAGAUAUUCGGGCUUUCGUUACUUCCGCUCCACUUGGAGCCAACCCAACCCAAUCCAAUGGAUUUCAAAUAUACGGACGGAAGCAUUUCGAAUGGAAAACGUGCGGGGUAUGAAUUGUAAAUUGACACUUAGAUUCUGCUGACGGCAGAAUCAGACGACUAGGUAUUUUUGUGUUACGUCUACCGAUAUUCGCAGUCUGGAAUUACAUUGAAAGUACGUUUUUUUGCCAGCUCAAUUUACGUCUGGCUGCUGGCCGGCCCCCGAAGUUGCCUGACUAAUGACCUUUUCGCGAAUGUAAAUAAAUUCUGAUUGCCGUGUGCUAAAGGUGUCAAAAGGGGCCUGUCGCCACCGAUUCGGUUGGGAUAAGAGAUUUGUAUGUAUGUGGAGAGUGAGAGAUGAUGGAUAAAGUGACUG
ensembl:ncRNA asRNA:CR45924 antisense RNA:CR45924